GAUGAACGCUGGCGGCGUGCCUAAUACAUGCGAGUCGAGCGAACAGAUAAGGAGCUUGCUCCUUUGAAGUUAGCGGCGGACGGGUGAGUAACACGUGGGUAACCUACCUAUAAGACUGGGAUAACUUCGGGAAACCGGAGCUAAUACCGGAUAACAUUUAGAACCGCAUGGUUCUAAAGUGAAAGAUGGCUUUGCUAUCACUUAUAGAUGGACCCGCGCCGUAUUAGCUAGUUGGUAAGGUAACGGCUUACCAAGGCGACGAUACGUAGCCGACCUGAGAGGGUGAUCGGCCACACUGGAACUGAGACACGGUCCAGACUCCUACGGGAGGCAGCAGUAGGGAAUCUUCCGCAAUGGGCGAAAGCCUGACGGAGCAACGCCGCGUGAGUGAUGAAGGGUUUCGGCUCGUAAAACUCUGUUAUUAGGGAAGAACAAAUGUGUAAGUAACUGUGCACAUCUUGACGGUACCUAAUCAGAAAGCCACGGCUAACUACGUG
rnacentral:rRNA from 1 species